rnacentral:rRNA from 1 species
ACGAGUUUGAUCCUGGCUCAGAUUGAACGCUGGCGGAAUGCUUUACACAUGCAAGUCGAACGGUAGAGGGGGCAACCCUUGAGAGUGGCGAACGGGUGAGUAAUAUAUCGGAACGUGCCCAGUCGUGGGGAUAACGUAGCGAAAGUUACGCUAAUACCGCAUACGAUCUAAGGAUGAAAGCGGGGAUCGCAAGACCUCGCGCGAUUGGAGCGGCCGAUAUCAGAUUAGGUAGUUGGUGAGGUAAAGGCUCACCAAGCCAACGAUCUGUAGCUGGUCUGAGAGGACGACCAGCCACACUGGAACUGAGACACGGUCCAGACUCCUACGGGAGGCAGCAGUGGGGAAUAUUGGACAAUGGGCGCAAGCCUGAUCCAGCCAUGCCGCGUGCAGGAAUAAGGUCCUAUGGAUUGUAAACUGCUUUUAUACAGGAAGAAACACACCCUCGUGAGGGUACUUGACGGUACUGUAUGAAUAAGGACCGGCUAACUCCGUG